AUUAUAGAUGGCAUUGUAAUAAGCAAAGAAAGCUCUGAAUUCCAACGGCCGAAUGUUAUAUGAAGGCUGCAGAAAACCAUGAUUAUGCUUUUCUCGAAAGCUGUCUGCUCAGGCAAGCAGAAGCUGUGAGAAUGCAAUGCGGGACUGUCUGAAUCAGGCUGCCUGGGUCAGCCCCACUGCUAUUUAUCCACUGUGUAACCUGGUGUAGGCCACCUCCCUGCCCUUCAAUCUCUUCAUCUGUGAGAUCAUGAUGCAGCUCUCAGCUACUGCUCCAGCACCAUGUAUGCCACUAUGCUCCUUGCCAUGAUGGAAAUGGACUAAAGCUCUGAAACUGAAUACUGUUUGACAAGGAACCAAUAGAAAAAGGCUACAGAGAUCCACCUGCCUCUGCCUCCCCAGUACUGGGAUUAAAGGCGUGUCCAUCAUGCCUGGCUCAAGCUCUCUUCUUCUUCUUUGUUUGUUUUUUGUUUUUCC
rnacentral:lncRNA from 1 species